UCAGCCAAAAGCUUCCAAAAUAGAGCAUCAGUGGUUCAAAAAGAAAGGAUUGGGUUUUAAGAAGAUGGUGAAGCUCGACAUGGUGGCAUGAUGAUUGUCGAAGAUGGGCAAGCAGGAAGAGGAAGGGAAUGGGGGACUUGGUGAUGAAUUUGAACAGAAGGCGAUGGAUUUAAAUAGAGAAGGAUGGGAAGGGUUGGGUCAUUUCUCCUCAGAUAAAGUUGGAUCUCACCGACAUAAAUAACCCAAACUCUUCCUCACUAGCGCACAACACC
rnacentral:lncRNA from 1 species